rnacentral:rRNA from 1 species
AUUGAACGCUGGCGGCAGGCCUAACACAUGCCAGUCGAGCGGAUGAAGGGAGCUUGCUCCUGGAUUCAGCGGCGGACGGGUGAGUAAUGCCUAGGAAUCUGCCUGGUAGUGGGGGAUAACGUCCGGAAACGGGCGCUAAUACCGCAUACGUCCUGAGGGAGAAAGUGGGGGAUCUUCGGACCUCACGCUAUCAGAUGAGCCUAGGUCGGAUUAGCUAGUUGGUGGGGUAAAGGCCUACCAAGGCGACGAUCCGUAACUGGUCUGAGAGGAUGAUCAGUCACACUGGAACUGAGACACGGUCCAGACUCCUACGGGAGGCAGCAGUGGGGAAUAUUGGACAAUGGGCGAAAGCCUGAUCCAGCCAUGCCGCGUGUGUGAAGAAGGUCUUCGGAUUGUAAAGCACUUUAAGUUGGGAGGAAGGGCAGUAAGUUAAUACCUUGCUGUUUUGACGUUUCCAACAGAAUAAGCACCGGCUAACUUCGUG